GGUGCCCACUGAGAGUGUCUUGCCCAAGGACCUCAAAGACUCGGACCUGGUCUGGCACUGAUCAUGUGGUGGCAGCACGGGAAAGGGGUGCUGGGAGCAGCGAAUAAUGAGAACACUCACCCAGAACUAGACUCUGGGCUGCUGCAAAGUGGAUUGGAGUCCAGGGAGCUGACCCCAGGGAACCUGGUGGAUUCCUACUCCCAAACAAAUCCCUAGAUGCAUCUAUCAGGAUGCUCUGCAGCAGGAUCCGAAGUUGCACAUGGGUCCCUUGGAGCGCAGACCCUGAGACUCAGGGAGGCAGAGCCACAGUGAUAAUGGGUAAGGGGAUGGAGACUAGUGGAGUCCAGCAGGGCCCUCCCUUUGCAAGUGCAACUCACAACUGGGCCUGUAUCACCUGUGCCUGUUUCUACUCAAUGUUUCUGUGGACUGUUCGGGGGGGUGGGGUUGAAUACUAGCAUUUACUUGUUGCAUUGGAGAAGGGCAGCUCUGCUUGAUUAAUGGCUAGCCCGGACUUUAGUGUGCUGCUGUGCUGCUAUUGAAAUGGUGUUUGCUUGUUUGUUGCAUAUUGUAUUCAUAUUCAAUUGUGUUGCAUCAGCUUAAUGUUUGCAAACUGCUUGGGCAUAAAGCCUCUCUGUGUGUGUGCGCGCGUGUGUAUGAAAUAUAAAUAUUAUCCAGUCCUCUGCAAAGAAGCAGUAGUAUCUGCAUCUGAAUCAUGUCUUCUAAAUGCUUAUUAAAGAUAGAAUAUGUUUCAGCUUCUCCAAGCAACUUCAGGCAACAAGUCUAAAUACUGAGAAGCCCCUUAAUAGAUGGCAGCACAAAAGCAUUGCCCAUCUCUGCUGUUGUCAGGCCAAAGCAGAAACUGUCCUCUAUCUUCUCCAAGUUGCUUUAGAGAGCUGAAGCCUCUUCCCAUUCUCUAGGCUUUGUGUGCUCCAUUCCUUUAAUCAUUCUGCAUUUGACUUGCUUUAUAAAAGAUUUACUGUUCCCUUGCAUUCCUUCCAGUUUGUUGUUAAGUUUUUAAAAGUGGUGCACCAACUUGGGGCCUGUUUCUCCAGCAAUGACAUAACUACGGUUGAGAAAAGCAAGGCUAUAUCUUGGAUAUGAGCACUAUGUUAAUGUGUCCCAGUGUAGCAUUGCCUUUUUAUUGAGCACCUUGGGCUUUUAGCACUCUUGUUAAAGCUUCCAUUUGGAAGUCUUAUAGUAAAAAUGUUAACAUGCUAACUUUGCUUUCUUUCUUUUAAAGAAGGAGCCAACCUUCAACAGGAUUCAGUUGUCGUGCUAGCUGGAAUUCAAGAGUAUCUGCUUGGCUAUUGCUGGUUAAACAGGAGGACUGGCCUAUGGAGCAUUUGCAUAGGUUGCCCAAAGAUCAAGCUCAAGCUGGAAGAAAAUGCAUCCAUACUUAGUGCUAAUUUGCUUUUCUACUGGCUAACCUGAAGUGCCAUGUCUUCCCUGCUAAUAAAAAAGAAAAAACUCUGACUGCCAUGAAUAGCCGAAAUGCAACACUGGGGAUCACGGAAGGUUAAGCACAGAAUUUUCCUCCUGAAUUAAGUAAUUAUGACACAAAUGAUUUGACUCUUUGAGCCAGCCUUACUCUGCGCUUUUGCCUGCUUUGCUGCAUUUGCCUAAUCAGAUAAUUGGGCGGCAUUUUUCACCACAGUGGCAUCAUAUUCCAUGGAAUGGCACGAUGUCAGAGAAGGAGCUGUGAUGAUAUGGUGGUGCUGAUCAAGGAAGUCCUGAGAAGUAGCUUGGGGAACGGAUCCCCCUUUGGCUUUCACUUAUUCUUCCCAGUGGGAAAUUUUCCAGGCAGAUUACAAUGGCAGAGGAUAAGUCCACUUAACAAUACCAGCAAAAGGAUCAGCUCCAAAACAACUGGAAACCAGCAACUUCCUGAGACAGCAGAAGAGAAGCAAAGAGAAGCAAAUAAGACAGAAUUAAAAUGGUGGUUGUGUUCUGUAUGGGCCUGUGCUUGAAAAUGGCCCAGAGGGGGCUGCUUCGAGCAAAACAUUGCAGCAAGAAUUACAGCAGGGAUCUGAGGGACUGAACAUCCUGCAUCUGUUCUGGCCCACUAGUUCUGCCUGCCUGAAUGUUUCCAAACCCAGUUCAAGGUGCUGCUAUCAAUCUAUAGGCCUUACAGAGCUUGGGACCUAAAAAUCUGACUCAGCCUUCCCCCCAGUGGGCAAUAAUUAUUGCCUGAGGCCCUCUUCCAGAUGCCUCCUUGGAGGGAGGUUUGAAGGAUGGCAACAAGGGAUGGUGCCUCCAUCCAAAUUAGAAUGCUCUCCUCUGUGAGACCCCCCUGGAACCCUCAUUGACAUACAUUUGGGUUUGGGUUAAGACCUCCCUCUAAUGUCCAGGUAUUCCAUGGCAUGUGAUAAUUGGUCAAAUUGGGAUUGUUAUUUGGUCUUGGGGUUUUUAUUGUUGAUUGUUUUAAGUUUUGUGUACUUAAAUGCUUUUUUGUUAUUUUUAUCUUGCAUUUUCAAAAUUUCCGUCUUUUGCAAUCUAGCCAGAGAAUUCUGUCUUAUUGGGCAGUAUAGAGAUGCAAUAAAUAAAUGAAUGCAUGAUUUUGAGAAAGCUCAUUGGAAAAAAUUGCCUUUGCAGCUCGAAUAAAAACAGGCAGUGCUGCAGACAGGCAGACCUCUCUUGAAAGGCCCUCCCUGAACUUGGGUGCCACAACUGGAAAGGUCCUGUUUUGGCAUCCACCCUCCAUUCUACACCAGAUGGGAUGGGGACUGCAAUG